rnacentral:ncRNA from 1 species
AAAAUAUUUCAUUGACGUAUUAGGUUAACUUCACCAAUUAAACUACAUAUGGUAGCCCACACACAUUGUGCUCUAUAAUUAAUUUAUACAAAACCUUUAACAGGUUCAAUAUAAGCUAAUUUCAGGACCACCCCAUUCAGUCCAAGGUAAUAAACCCACAACACCAAUGUCCUAUAUUAGAUAAGCUAGGAGACUAGGCCCUAGAAAACAAGUGAACAGAGGUGGCAAAAAUGGUGCCAGCAGUCGCGGUUAUACCAUUACCUCAAGCUAACCCAUACAAACAGGGGCCAACUAUAAAGACUAAAAAAUUAACUUUCUACGUAAAAAAUAAAUUAUAACUAAACCCAACUAAGUCGUUCGCCAAAGCCCCAACAAACCACAACCUCAAAACCUGGAUUAGAUACCCAGCUAUUGUGUGGCCCAACACCAAAAAGAAUACUAUAAGCGAAAGCUCAAACCUCAAACAAUGUGGCGGUGCUUAACUCCUCAUCAGGGGAUCCUGUGGCUUAAAUCGAUAAUCCACGAAAACCUUAGCUCCCCUAGCACUCAGCUUGUGUAUGGCCGUUUAUGCUUGCUCAAAAAAGAUAAAAAAGGAAGCAAUAGAGUUAAACCCUCAAAUUCAGGUAACAUACAGCUAAUGGGGAGCUGACUCAUGGGAUACAAAUAAACAUACUACCGAACUUAAAUAUUAAACUUUUUAAUAAAGGAGGACUUGAAAGUAAGAUUCAUAGCUUAUAAAGCCAAUCUGAACAAGAACUUAAGCGCGCACAAAUCGCCCGUCACUCCGACAGUAAAGUCGGAUAAGUCGUAACACAGUAGGGGUAAUGGAAGUUGUCCCUAUAAC